rnacentral:rRNA from 1 species
GAUGAACGCUCGCUACAGGCUUAACACAUGCAAGUCGAGGGGAAACGGCAUUAAGUGCUUGCACUUUUUGGACGUCGACCGGCGCACGGGUGAGUAACGCGUAUCCAACCUUCCCAUGACUAAGGGAUAACCUGCCGAAAGGCAGACUAAUACCUUAUGGUCUUCACUGACGGCAUCAGAUGUGAAGUAAAGAUUUAUCGGUUAUGGAUGGGGAUGCGUCUGAUUAGCUUGUUGGCGGGGUAACGGCCCACCAAGGCAACGAUCAGUAGGGGUUCUGAGAGGAAGGUCCCCCACAUUGGAACUGAGACACGGUCCAAACUCCUACGGGAGGCAGCAGUGAGGAAGAUUGGUCAAUGGGCGAGAGCCUGAACCAGCCAAGUAGCGUGCAGGAUGACGGCCCUAUGGGUUGUAAACUGCUUUUGUAUGGGGAUAAAGUCAAUCACGUGUGAUUGUUUGCAGGUACCAGACGAAUAAGGACCGGCUAAUUCCGUG